GUGGUGUGGACAUAUGUUGGGUUGGAAGAUGCUGGGUUGCUGCUGAAUGUGUGUUGGGAGUGUUGUUGGGUAAGUGGCUGGAAUAGCAGUGGAGUGUAGUUAGAAGAUGUAUUGCUGCUGGAGGUUUUUGUUGGUGUGGAAAGAUGUAUUGGCUUGCUGUCGUUAUGCCAGUGGUGUGGAAUGAUGCAUGUAUUGGCUUGGUGGUUGGAAUUUGGAAAUUUGUUCUUGUAGUUUAACUGGAUGAAUUUUUUUUUUUAAUUUCGGAUGUUGCUUAUAUAUGUAUUGGUAGUGAUGACAAUAUUAGAUACUAGAUGUAUUUAUUUUGAAAUUAACUUGUUGGAAUGA
rnacentral:lncRNA from 1 species